rnacentral:lncRNA from 1 species
AGAAAUGAUAGUCUCCAUGGCAAUACUGAUUUAUUUUCUUUUUGUGUCUCUGCCAAAUGUUGAAGACGUCAGGAUUCUGAGUGGGAAAGGCGGACACCAUCAACAAAUAUCACAGAAACAAAGAAAUAAUGGAAUGGCUUCUCCAAAAGCUCUUUCUCUCUGAAGUCCCAAGAAAGCUGUGGAAGUACAAAGGGACCUUCCCUGGGAAUCGGAUGCCUGCGGGAGAAACGAUGAGGAUUUGCCAGAAUUCAAGUCUUGUCUAUGGAUGGAAACUUCGAGGCUUUGGACUGCGGAGUGGAAGAUUUAUCCCUGGGCUCCUCAUGCAGCUCAUUUGUGAGGCAACAGCACCGCCCUCUGGUCAAAGAGCAGGAUUUCCUCUAGAAUUUUCCUUGGAAAAUUUCACGCACCUGCAUCCAGAGAGCAAAUAUGGGUCGGUGAGUGAACCGGC